rnacentral:rRNA from 1 species
AUUGAACGCUGGCGGCAUGCCUUACACAUGCAAGUCGAACGGCAGCACGGGAGCAAUCCUGGUGGCGAGUGGCGAACGGGUGAGUAAUAUAUCGGAACGUGCCCAGUCGUGGGGAUAACGUAGCGAAAGCUACGCUAAUACCGCAUACGAUCUACGGAUGAAAGCGGGGGAUCGCAAGACCUCGCGCGAUUGGAGCGGCCGAUAUCAGAUUAGGUAGUUGGUGAGGUAAAGGCUCACCAAGCCGACGAUCUGUAGCUGGUCUGAGAGGACGACCAGCCACACUGGGACUGAGACACGGCCCAGACUCCUACGGGAGGCAGCAGUGGGGAAUUUUGGACAAUGGGCGCAAGCCUGAUCCAGCAAUGCCGCGUGCAGGAUGAAGGCCUUCGGGUUGGUU